rnacentral:rRNA from 1 species
AGUGAACGCUGGCGGUAGGCCUAACACAUGCAAGUCGAACGGCAGCACAGUAAGAGCUUGCUCUUACGGGUGGCGAGUGGCGGACGGGUGAGGAAUACAUCGGAAUCUACUUUUUCGUGGGGGAUAACGUAGGGAAACUUACGCUAAUACCGCAUACGACCUACGGGUGAAAGCAGGGGAUCUUCGGACCUUGCGCGAUUGAAUGAGCCGAUGUCGGAUUAGCUAGUUGGCUGGGUAAAGGCCCACCAAGGCGACGAUCCGUAGCUGGUCUGAGAGGAUGAUCAGCCACACUGGAACUGAGACACGGUCCAGACUCCGACGGGAGGCAGCAGUGGGGAAUAUUGGACAAUGGGCGCAAGCAUGAUCCAGCCAUACCGCGUGGGUGAAGAAGGCCUUCGGGUUGUAAAGCCCUUUUGUUGGGAAAGAAAAGCAGCAGGUUAAUACCCCGCUGUUCUGACGGUACCCAAAGAAUAAGCACCGGCUAACUUCGUG